rnacentral:pre_miRNA from 1 species
UAAAUACUUCCUCCGUCCGGAAAUAUUUGUCAUCAAAAUGGAUAAAAGAAGAUGUAUCUAGAUGUAUUUUAGUUUUAGAUACAUCUCUUUUUAUUCAUUUUGAUGACAAGUAUUUUCGGAUGGAGGGAGUAUAAG